GCAAAGUUUGCGCUGCUUCCACCUUUACAUGUCUGUGAGAGAGUUCAAGACCUGCAGUAAAUCAGAGACAAAGACACGUCCAGACUGAGCAGAGACAAAUGGCUUCUACAAUGAUCAGACCUCAUCAGGUUGUGAUCGCUUUCCUCAUCCUGGCAGUUAACUGGACCGGUGCUGAUGGUCAAACACUGACUGAGUCAGAAUCAGUGGUUAAAAGGCCUGGAGAAUCCCACAGACUGACCUGCACAUAUUCUGGGUUUAGUAGCACUCCUGACAUUAGCUGGAUCAGACAGCCAGCUGGAAAAAGACUGGAGUGGAUUGCUUAUAUCAGCAGUGGCAGUGGCAGCAUUUACUACUCUGACUCAGUGAGAAACCGGUUCACCACCUCCAGAGAGAACAGCAGAAAUCAGGUGUAUCUGCAGAUGAACAGCCUGACAGCUGAGGAUUCUGCUGUUUAUUAUUGUGCUCGAGAGCCACAGUGACACAGGAAGCAGAAACACUGUACAAAAA